rnacentral:rRNA from 1 species
AACGAACGCUGGCGGCAGGCUUAACACGUGCAAGUCGAACGCUCCGCAAGGAGAGUGGCAGACGGGUGAGUAACACAUGGGAACGUACCCUUUACUACGGAACAACUCCGGGAAACUGGAGCUAAUACCGUAUGUGCCCUUUGGGGGAAAGAUUUAUCGGUAAAGGAUCGGCCCGCGUUGGAUUAGCUAGUUGGUGGGGUAAAGGCCUACCAAGGCGACGAUCCAUAGCUGGUCUGAGAGGAUGAUCAGCCACAUUGGGACUGAGACACGGCCCAAACUCCUACGGGAGGCAGCAGUGGGGAAUAUUGGACAAUGGGCGCAAGCCUGAUCCAGCCAUGCCGCGUGUGUGAUGAAGGCCUUAGGGUUGUAAAGCACUUUCACCGGAGAAGAUAAUGACGGUAUCCGGAGAAGAAGCCCCGGCUAACUUCGUGCCAGCCGCCGCAGUAAAAC